CUGGUAAGUCAGUGGUGAAAGCCCAUCGCUCAACGGUGGAACGGCCAUUGAUACUGCCAGGCUUGAAUUUCCAGGAAGCAACUAGAAUAUGUAGCGUAGCGGUGAAAUGCUUAGAUAUUACAUGGAAUACCAAUUGCGAAGGCAGGUUGCUACUGGUGGAUUGACGCUGAUGGACGAAAGCGUGGGUAGCGAACAGGAUUAGAUACCCUGGUAGUCCACGCCGUAAACGAUGGAUACUAGCUGUUGGGGGCAACUUCAGUGGCUAAGCGAAAGUGAUAAGUGUCCCACCUGGGGAGUACGAACGCAAGUUUGAAACUCAAAGGAAUUGACGGGGGCCCGCACAAGCGGUGGAGCAUGUGGUUUAAUUCGAUGAUACGCGAGGAACCUUACCAAGGCUUAAAUGUAGACUGACCGGCUUGGAAACAGGCCUUUCGCAAGACAGUCUACAAGGUGCUGCAUGGUUGUCGUCAGCUCGUGCCGUGAGGUGUCAGGUUAAGUCCUAUAACGAGCGCAACCCCUGUUGUUAGUUGCCAGCGAGCCAUGUCGGGAAC
rnacentral:rRNA from 1 species